rnacentral:rRNA from 1 species
GACAGAGGGUGCAAACGUUGUUCGGAAUUACUGGGCGUAAAGCGCGUGUAGGCUGCUUGGAAAGUCGGAUGUGAAAGCCCUGGGCUUAACCCAGGAAGUGCACUCGAAACUUCCGAGCUUGAGUUCUGGAGAGGGUGGCGGAAUUCUCGGUGUAGAGGUGAAAUUCGUAGAUAUCGGGAGGAACAUCAGUGGCGAAGGCGGCCCUCUGGUCCAGUACUGACACUCAAGUGCGAAAGCGUGGGGAGCAAACAGG